rnacentral:rRNA from 1 species
AGGCGUCGGGGGGAGCGACCCUCCCGGUGCCGUCGCUAACGCAGUAAGUGUCCCGCCUGGGGAGUACGGCCGCAAGGCUGAAACUCAAAGGAAUUGACGGGGGCCCGCACAAGCGGUGGAGCAUGUGGUUUAAUUCGAAGCAACGCGAAGAACCUUACCUGGGCUUGACAUGCUGGUGAAAGCCGGUGGAAACAUCGGCCCCUCUUCGGAGCGCCAGCACAGGUGCUGCAUGGCUGUCGU